AACGUAGGUGGCAAGCGUUAUCCGGAUUUACUGGGCGUAAAGCGUGUGCAGGCGGGUUGUCAAGUGGUGUAUGAAAUCGCCCGGCUUAACCGGGCGGGGUUAGGCCAGACUGACAGCCUGGAGGACGGGAGAGGGGCGUGGAAUUCCGGGUGUAGUGGUGAAAUGCGUAGAGAUCCGGAGGAACCCCAGCGGCGAAGGCGGCGCCCUGGCCCGUACCUGACGCUCAGACACGACAGCAUGGGGAGCGAAC
rnacentral:rRNA from 1 species